UACGUAGGGAGCAAGCGUUGUCCGGAAUCAUUGGGCGUAAAGCGCGCGUAGGCGGCCCUGUAAGUCCGUUGUGAAAGUCAAAGGCUCAACCUUUGAAAGCCGAUGGAUACUGCAGGGCUGGAGUCCGGAAGAGGCGAGUGGAAUUCCUGGUGUAGCGGUAGAAUGCGCAGAUAUCAGGAGGAACACCAAUAGCGAAGGCAGCUCGCUGGGACGGUACUGACGCUAAGGCGCGAAAGCGUGGGGAUCAAACAGG
rnacentral:rRNA from 1 species